UUUGAUUCGUUCAGCAUAUGGACAAGAGAAUUUGGAGGAAGAUAAAAGAGAAAACCGAGGGCAGAGAAGUUGGAGGAAAAGACAUUUCUGCACUUGGUAGAACCUGAUGAAAUAUCCUACCGCUGAAUUCCUUCUUCAGGAAGAGUCUGAAAUCAUCUCGUCCUCGAGGGUCUGACAGCAACUCCCCGAAACUAAACGUCCAUCGUUCCACACGCAUUUUAGUUGGAAUCUCCACACUGUGUCACACACCACGACCACAGAUGAACGAGACAGGGACAGACACUAUACAGACGGACAAUCUUACGCCGCAAUGGACACUGAUGACUUCACUCUGGGCCUCAUGAUGGACUGUUGGGUGAAGAUCAUCUGUUGGAGGCAAA